GGAAAGAUGACCGAGUGGUCGAAGGUGUAGCACUGGAAAUGCUAUGUAGGUUUUUAACUUACCGAGGGUUCAAAUCCCUCUCUUUCCU
rnacentral:tRNA from 1 species